rnacentral:rRNA from 1 species
UACGAGGGGUGCAAGCGUUGCUCGGAAUUAUUGGGCGUAAAGGGUAGGUAGGUGGUCUCAUUUGUCUGGGGUGAAAGCCUUGAGCUUAACUCAAGAAGUGCCUCGGAAACGGUGAGACUAGAGUCUUGGAGAGGGUUGCGGAAUUCCCGGUGUAGCGGUGAAAUGCGUAGAGAUCGGGAGGAACACCAGAGGCGAAGGCGGCAACCUGGACAAGUACUGACACUGAGGUGCGAAAGCGUGGGGAGCAAACAGG